GCUCACUUCAGCAGGACAUUUACUAAAAUUGCAAUGAUACACAGGAAAUUAGCAUGGCCUCUGCUCAAAGAUGACACGCAAAUUUAUAAAGUGUUCUAUAUUUUU